CCCGUCACAUCAUGAAAGCCGGUUGUACCCGAAGUCCGCAGGCUAACAGCAAUGAAGCAGCGGCCGAAGGUAUGGCUGGUGAUUGGGAUG
rnacentral:rRNA from 1 species